CAGAGGGUUUGAUUCUGGCUCAGAUUGAACGCUGGCAGGAUGCUUUACAUGCAAGUCGAACGGCAGCACGGACUUUCGGUCUGGUGGCGAGUGGCGAACGGGUGAGUAAUGUAUCGGAACGUGCCUGGUAGCGGGGGAUAACUACGCGCGAAAGCGUAGCUAAUACCACAUACGCCCUUCGAGGGAAAGCGGGGGACCUUCGGGCUCGCACUGAAGCGGCCGAUAUCGGAUUAGCUAGUUGGUGGGGUAACGGCUCACCAAGGCGACGAUCCGUAGCUGGUUUGAAGGCGACCAGCCACACUGGGACUAGGGCGGCAGACUCUACGGGAGCAGCAGUGAGGAAUUUUGGACAAUGGGGAAACCCGCAAUCCAGCCAUCCCGCGUGUGCGAUGAAGGCCUUCGGGUUGCUGUUAAACACUUUUAGGCGGAAAGAAACGGCGCAGGAUAAUACCCCCGUGCAACUGACGAACACCUGCAGAAUAAGCACCAGCUAACUACGUGCCAGCAGCCGCGGUAAUACGUAGGGUGCCAGCGUUAAUCGGAAUUACUGGGCGUAAAGCGUGCGCAGGCGGUUCGGAAGAAAGAUGUGAAAUCCCAGAGCUUAACUUUGGAACUGCAUUUUAACUUUACCGAGCUAGAGUGUGUCAGAGGAGGUGGAAUUCCGCGUGUAGCGGUGAAUAACAGCGAAUAUGCGGAAGGUACCGAUGGCGAAGGCAGCCUCGCAGGAUAACACUGACGCUCAUGCACGAAAGCGUAGAAACAAACAGGAUUAGAUACCACUGGUAGUCCACGCCUAAACGAUGUCAACUAGCUGUUGGGGCGAACUUCAGGCCUUGGAUGACGCAGCUAACGUGUGAGAUAAACCGUAUCAGGAGAUGAUCCGCAAGUCAACUCAAAGGAAUUGACGGGGACCCGCACAAGCAGUGGAUGAUGGAUAAUUCGAUGCAACGCGAAAAACCUUACCUACCCUUGACAUGUCUGGAAUCCCGAAGAGAUUUGGGAGUGCUCGCAAGAGAACCGGAACACAGGUGCUGCAUGGCUGUCGUCAGCUCGUGUCGUGAGAUGUUGGGUUAAGUCCCGCAACGAGCGCAACCCUUAUCGUCAUUAGUUGCUACGAAGGGCACUCUAAUGAGACUGCCGGUGACAUAUAAACCGGAGGAAGGUGGGGAUGACGGCUUCAAGUCCUCAUGGCCCUUAUAGGUAGGGCUUCCGCACGUCAUGCAAUGGUCAGGACGAGAGGUCGCCAACCCGCGGGAGCCAAUCCCAGAAACCCGAUCGUAGUCCGGAUCGCAGUCCACAACUCGACUGCGUGAAGUCAGAAUCGAUGCUAGUAAUCGCGGAUCAGCAUGUCGCGGUGAAUACGUUCCCGGGUCUUGUACACACCGCCGUCACACCAUGGGAGUGGGUUUUACAGAAGUAGUUAGCCUAGCCCAAUAAGGAGGGCGAUUACCACGGUAAGUUCACAUUAUGGUGGGUGAAGUCGUAACAAGGUA
rnacentral:rRNA from 1 species